rnacentral:rRNA from 1 species
UACGAAGGGGGCUAGCGUUGCUCGGAAUCACUGGGCGUAAAGGGUGCGUAGGCGGGUCUUUAAGUCAGGGGUGAAAUCCUGGAGCUCAACUCCAGAACUGCCUUUGAUACUGAAGAUCUUGAGUUCGGGAGAGGUGAGUGGAACUGCGAGUGUAGAGGUGAAAUUCGUAGAUAUUCGCAAGAACACCAGUGGCGAAGGCGGCUCACUGGCCCGAGUACUGACGCCUGAGGCACGAAAG